CACGGAGGGGGCAAGUGUUUCUCGUAUUGACUGGGCUUAAAGGGCACGUAGGUGGCCGGGGGAAGGUUUUUGUGCAAAAAGCUGCUGGCUAACAACAGAAGUACAAUAUACCCCUUUUCUCUGUGCUGGAGUGGUGCUCAAGUUUAUAGAAUUCUUAGCGGAGGGGUGGAAUCCGGCGAGGCUAGGAGGAAUGCUACUGGGCGAAGGCAGUUUUCUCGAGUCCACUGACAGUGAGGUGCGCAAGCAUGGGGAUCAAAUAGG
rnacentral:rRNA from 1 species